GCUAGUUGAUCCUGUUAGAAGCAUUUUCUUGUCUCAAAGAUUAAGCCAUGCACGUGUAAGUACACACGGGCAGUACAGUAAAUCAGUUAUGGUUCCUUUGAUCGACCACCUGUUACAUGAAUAACUGUGGUAAUACUACAGUUAAUACAGGCUGACUGGCACUGACCUCCUGGGAAUGCAUACAUUUAUCAGAACAAGACCAAUACGGGCUGGCCCAGCCGCUUUGGUGACACUAGAUAACCUCUGGCCGACUGCAUGUCCCUGUAAUGGCCAUGAUACAUUCAGAUCUUAGCCCUAUCAAUCUUCUAUGGUACUUUCUGUGCCUACCAUGGUGACCACGGGUAACUGGGAAUCAGGGUUUGAUUCCAGAGAGGGAGCCUGAGAAACAGCUACCACACCCAAAGAAGGCAGCAGGAACGCAAACGACCCUUUCCCUAGUCGGGGAAGUAGUGACGAAAAAUAACAAUACAGCACUCUUUUGAUGCCCUGUAAUUGGAAUGAGUACACUUUAAAUCAUUACCGAGGAUCCAUUGGAGAGCAAGUCUGGUGCCAGCAGCCACAGUAACUCCAGCUCCAAUAGCGUAUAUUAAAGUUGCUGCAAAAGUAGUUGGAUCCUGGGAUCGAGCUGACAGUCCGCUGCAACGAGAGCUACUGCCUGUCCCAGCCAUUCCCUCUCAGCGCCCCCUUGAUGUUCGUGUGUCCUGGGGUCUGAAGAGUUUACAUUGAAAAGAUUACAGUGUUCUAAGCAGGCCGGUCACCUGAAUACUUCAGUCAGGAAUAAUGGGCUAGGAUUACGGAUCUAUUUUGUUGGUUUACGGAACUGGGUCCAUGAAUAAAUGGGGGCGGGCGACAUUCGUAUUGUGCCACUAGAGGUGAAAUUCUUGGACUGGCGCAAGAACCACCAAAAGGAAAGCAUUUGCCAAGAAUAUUUUAAUUAAUCAAGAAUUAAAGUGGGAGGUUCGAAGACUAUCUGAUACCGUCGUAGUUCCGACCAUAAACAAAGCUGACUAGCUAUCCGGCAGGGUAAUUCCCAUGAUCCCCUGACCAACUUCCGGGAAACCAAGCUUUGGUUUCUGGGGGAGUAUGGUUGCAAAGCUGAAACUUAAAAGAAUUGACGUGACGGCACCACCAGAGGUGGAGCCUGCGGCUUAAUUUGACUCAAUACGGGAAACCUCACCUGGCCUGGACACUGACAGGAUUGACAGAUUGAUAGCUCGUUCUCAAUUCUGUCGGGUGGUGCAUGGCCGUUCUUAGUUGGUGGAGCGAUUUGUCUGGUUAAUUCCGAUAACAAAUUAGACUGCACCAUGCCAACUAGUUACGCGGCCCUCAGCGGUCGGCGUUCAACUUCUAAGAGGGACAAGUGGUGUUCAGCCACACGAUAUCGAGCAAUAACAGGUUUCUGAUGCACUUAUAGGUCUUGAGCUACAUGCGCGCUAUACUGAAUGGAUCAGCGUGUGUCUACCCUUCCCCGACAGGUUUUGGUAAGCCGCUGAACCCUGUUUGUGAUAGGGAUUGGGGAAUGCAAUUAUUUUCCAUGAACGAGAAAUUCCCAGUAAGUGAGGAUCAUAAGCUUGCACUGAUUAAGUCCAUGCUGUUUGUACACACCGCCCCUCGCUACUACCGAUUGGAUGGUUUAGUGAGGUCCUCAGAUUGGCUCCAAAUGGUCUUGCAAAUCGUGCACUCCUUAUUGAUUCCUUGGAAUGUAUUUUUAUUGAUCGGUUUUGGGACUACUGUACAUUUUUGGUGACCCUCGUGUGAUUU
rnacentral:rRNA from 1 species